rnacentral:rRNA from 1 species
UACAGAGGGGGCAAGCGUUAUUCGGAAUUAUUGGGCGUAAAGGGCGCGUAGGCGGCAUGACAAGUGGAAGGUGAAAUCCCUCGGCUUAACCGGGGAACUGCCUUCCAAACUGUUUUGCUUGAGUCCGGGAGAGGUCAGUGGAAUUCCCAGUGUAGCGGUGAAAUGCGUAGAUAUUGGGAGGAACACCAGUGGCGAAGGCGACUGACUGGACCGGUACUGACGCUGAGGCGCGAAAAGCGUGGGGGAGCAAACGGG